AUCAGAAGCAUUUUGAUCCUUCUCAACAAGGACUCUUGCAGGUUCAAUAGAGUCCAAAGAACCAUAAUUUCUGAUAGGCAAGGCAGCAGAAUUGUGAACGGAAUUAGAUUUAGAAUCAGCAGAAUUCCAAACCCUAGAGGCAGAAGUUGGAGAUCCGAGACCAGCAAUGGAAGAGUCAAUACUCGAAGAAAUAGAACGAAUCGGCUGAAAAUCGUAACUGGGAACGAUCUCCUCCUUCCUAAUCCCAUUAUCACCAGCACUUCCAAUGAUGGAACUAGUAUUGCAAUUAUAAUGACUCUGGUGUUGACUGUCGUCCUCGGGAGGAUUCAUCAGAUCAAUAAAAUCUC
rnacentral:misc_RNA from 1 species